UGCAAGUCGAGCGGUAGCACAGAGAAGCUUGCUUCUUGGGUGACGAGCGGCGGACGGGUGAGUAACGCGUAGGAAUCUACCUAAUGGUGGGGGAUAGCCCAGGGAAACUUGGAUUAAUACCGCAUAAGUCCUAAGGGAGAAAGCGGGGGAUCUUCGGACCUCGUGCCAUUAGAUGAGCCUGCGUAAGAUUAGCUAGUUGGUGAGGUAAGAGCUCACCAAGGCGACGAUCUUUAGCUGGUCUGAGAGGAUGAUCAGCCACACUGGGACUGAGACACGGCCCAGACUCCUACGGGAGGCAGCAGUGGGGAAUAUUGGACAAUGGGGGCAACCCUGAUCCAGCCAUGCCGCGUGUGUGAAGAAGGCCUUCGGGUUGUAAAGCACUUUCAGAUGUGAGGAAAGGUUGCAGAUUAAUACUCUGCAGCUGUGACGUUAACAUCAGAAGAAGGACCGGCUAACUCCGUGCCAGCAGCCGCGGUAAUACGGAGGGUCCGAGCGUUAAUCGGAAUUACUGGGCGUAAAGCGCGCGUAGGUGGUUUCGUCAGUCAGAUGUGAAAGCCCAGGGCUCAACCUUGGAAUUGCACCUGAUACUGCGGGACUAGAGUACGAUAGAGGGGAGUGGAAUUUCCGGUGUAGCGGUGAAAUGCGUAGGAUAUCGGAAGGAACACCAGUGGCGAAGGCGACUCCCUGGAU
rnacentral:rRNA from 1 species